rnacentral:rRNA from 1 species
GCGAUGCAGGCGGUUCGCCGCCCGCGACGUCGCGAGAAGUCCACUGAACCUUAUCAUUUAGAGGAAGGAGAAGUCGUAACAAGGUUUUCCGUAGGUGAACCUGCGGAAGGAUCAUUGUCGUAUCCUCCAAAGUCCCGACACACCCAGCGAACGGUUGACCCCGACCCUCUCUCGCCGUCCGUCUGUCGGAGGGGCCGCGGGGCGAAUACGGCCCGGUCUGGUCCAUCAGUCCGGUCCGACCGUCCCCCUUCCGUCCCCCCCGGCCGUGGACGGUCCCAACGAACCCCCCGGCGCGGCACGCGCCAAGGAACACGGACGUGAACGACGCCCGCGUGCACGCCACGCGGAGGCGCUCGUGACCACGGAACAAAGGAAGUCCUAACGACUCCCGGCAACGGAUAUCUAGGCUCUCGCAUCGAUGAAGAACGUAGCGAAAUGCGAUACGUGGUGUGAAUUGCAGAAUCCCGCGAACCAUCGAAUCUUUGAACGCAAGUUGCGCCCGAGGCCACUAGGCCGAGGGCACGCCUGCCUGGGCGUCACGCCCCGCGUCGCUCCCCGACCCCCCGCCCCGCGCGGGGGUGCCGACGGGAUGCGGAGAUUGGCCCACCGUGCCCACGCGCGGCGGGCCGAAGAAGAGCUCGGCCCCUCCCGCGCCCGGGCGAGCACGACGAGUGGUGGACCCGGCACCGUGCCGGACGCGCCCCCCACUUCGGGGCCCGGCCGCACGUGCUCAUCGUCGUCGUCGCCCGCCCGAGCAGCAAGCGAGGGGGUGCACGGAGCAGGAGGAACCCAGUCGCGAGCGUCGUCGCUCGGACCGUGCGACCCCAGGUCAGGCGGGGCCACCCGCUGAGUUUAAGCAUAUAAAUAAGCGGAGGAA